CGCAUUCCAAGUCACUGGCUCGGCCGGGACCGACAGAUGCGAGCGCUCCAGAGACUGAUUCAGGGCAGGGUCCUGCUCCUGACCAUCUGUGCGGCUGGCAUUGGUGGGACUUUUCAGUUUGGCUACAACCUCUCCAUCAUCAAUGCCCCGACCUUGCACAUUCAGGACUUCACCAAUGAGACG